GCGCCGGUGGUGUAAUGGCGUAGAGCAUUUCCGCCCUGUUAGAGGGAGGUGCGGGUUCGAGUCCCGCCCGCCGCU
rnacentral:tRNA from 1 species